UGUUGAGACCGCUUCCGCCGGAAGUGGGGAGGAGUCAGCCGGGGAAGAGGACCCGCCUUCCCUAGAGCCACGGACCUAGGCUGCGGGCUGUCCCGGACCGGAAAGUUGAUGUUGUGGCCGCUCACUGGAGCCGAGGCAGGAGGCUUGCGAGUCCCAGGCCAGCCCGGCUGGGCAGCGAGACCCUGUUUCAUAACAGGGACAAACUCACCAACAAAACCCAUUAAAAAUAAACCCCUCUGGGGCUUUGGCUCAGUGGGCAGAGCCCCGCCCUGCGUGCAUGCAGCCCCUGUGGGAGUUCAAAGCCAGUCUGGGCUGCGUGAGACCCUCCGCUGUGUGAUUCUCAGACCGUCUCUGCCGCUCUCUGGGCCACAGGAGAGAGAGAAUGAAUGGGAACGUGGGGUUCGGGGGCAGAGCAAAGACCCCCGGACUCCCUGCCAAUAAUUCCUCGGCUUUGUUUCUGGGGUGCGUCUCCAGGGAUAGCACAGAGCAUCAGGUCCCCCGAACGGAGCGAGUCCCAUAUGUUACACAGAGGUGCCCAGAGAGAUAGAUGGAGAAGGAGAUACUGGGGUCACGAUCACAACCCGACCCUUGUGCCUGCUGGUGGUGGUCAUAGGCAGGACCAGGUCAUAGUGAUGGUGCCUGGGAACCCGGGUGAGGGCAGCAUGUGACUACGGGAACCUCGUGAUCCCGGCGGGGACCCCCAGGAAGGCUUCCCGGAGGAGGGAGCGCACAGGCGGGAGGGAGAGGCCGUCCUGGGGCUGCCCAGCUGAGCACGCUGGCCAGCGCAGCUUGUCUCCUCCCUCUGCUCACCCCAUCCCCCUGGGCGGGUGCCCCCCCAAACCUGAUCGGGUGUCACCCCGACUCUGCUGCUGGCAGCUCGCACCUGGAGCGAGUAACCAGAGAGGCUGUGGUGGACGGACGCAGGGCUCUGGUCUGCAGUCGCCUGAGGUCACUGGACCUGUGCUGCUGCAGUCACCUCUUCCAGGAGGCCUUCCCCACCUCCAGGCUGCGAUUCUCCUGACUGGAAACCCGUGGACCAGGCUCCUGGGUGUUACUCACCGUUGGGUGUGAUUGAACUUUAUAGUUGGGGGAGGAGAGCCCCCAGCCAGUGUGAUGAAGACCCUCCGGGCAAGGUUCAAGAAGACAGAGG